GUAGUCUGCAACUCGACUACAUGAAGCUGGAAUCGCUAGUAAUCGCAGAUCAGAAUGCUGCGGUGAAUACGUUCCCGGGCCUUGUACACACCGCCCGUCACACCAUGAGAGUCGGGAACACCCGAAGUCCGUAGCCUAACCGCAAGGGGGGCGCGGCCGAAGGUGGGUUCGAUAAUUGGGGUGAAGUCGUAACAAGGUACC
rnacentral:rRNA from 1 species